AAAACACAGCCCGCAUUAAACCAAACCCUGGAAACGAAAGCUGAAUCGCCUUGUAUUUCUAAACCUCUGGCAGACAGACACACCCAGCAGCGCAGCUCUGCUCAGCUCUGCGCGCUGUGCAAGUCCUCAGAAAGGCGGCGGCCUACCCGGAACCCCUGCCUGUCCUGUCUCCCCACUCUGUCCCGCGAUGUCUCCCUGCUCAGCUCCUCAGGAAACAAAGUGGCUGCCGGCCAUGGCGGGGCGUGUGGGAGUCUGCAGAGCUCCGGCGCUGAGAUUUAAGAAACGCCACAGGCCUCUGUUUUUCCAAAAUGAAGCCGAGUGUGGCCGUAGGAAAUUUCUCCACAUGGCACCAGUUCUGGAAUGUGUUUGAAAGAAAAGGGAGUUUCGUGAUUCCAUUGUGAUUCCAAAGAGCAUUUUCAUCUUCACUUGGCCACCAUAUUGGGAAAUAGACCACUCAUCAACUAUAUUUAAACAUUUCUGGGUUCAUUUAUUCAUUUGUAAAAUGAGAGAUUAAAAGAUAAAAAUUAAAUUCCUUUUUAUUAAAGAAUCCAAGUGUUCUCUGACUGACCACGGAGAGGUGAAGAUUUCUGCACACACCAACAGCACUGCCAGGCCUGUGGUUUCAGGCCCAGAAGGGUUCCCUCCGGCUGUGAACAUUUUCCCUCCUCUGUGGCUCACUGAGGCGCAAUGAUUACAACUCGCAGGAGUUCAGACUUUUUACCUCAUUCUAUGAGUCACGGCAAGAUAAACCUGUAUCAUGCAACAGUGGUCCAUAAAUAAGAGAUAUUGUUUAGCACAAAUGUUCCAAUUAGAGCUUAACUUUCCAUUCUCUUAUGCUAUAACUUGAGUCCUAGUAGCUUGGGACAUUUUCCUUGGGUAAGGUAUUGUAUUAAACCUUUUCUUAAAAGCAAUCUCUUAGAUCUAAUGAUAAAUUUUUACUUUCUGAGGAGAAUUGAAUUAAUUAAUUAAUAUCAAUGCUGAAGAUUAUUUGAAGAAAACAAGUGAAUAGUUAUGCAAGCUAAUUUUGGCCUCAAUAUUACUUUUUUCUGAAUACUGAACUUUUCUCAAAGUAACUGUUGGUGAUUGGUUAAUGGAAUUGAAAUGCAAGAGAAAUAGUUUGCAAUGGUUUAAUAUUCUAAAACUGAAUUAUCUUUUACUUGAUAGGACUAGGAUUUAAAUUAAGGGGAAAUUUUGUUCUCUCUUAGGAAGCUAAUUUAAAGAUCAUGAGAAAAGUGGAAAUAAAAUAAAUUAAGAUGUGUUAUGUACCUGUCUGUGUAAACUCCCCAAGAUUAAUGUAAUCAUUAUGUAUGGGAAAAAAGGACUAAUAAGUAUUUUACAAAUUAAGAACAAAAAGCAAAAGAAAAAACAAAACAAAAUAAUAAUCUUUUAAAAUAAAUAAACAGAAAAAUAUAGAUAUGUAUAUUCACAUAACUGUACACAUAUAUAUCUAGAUAUAUAUUUAUAUAUCUAAAUACACAUUUUAUACACAUAUUUAUACAGUAUAUUAGCAGAAAAAUUCUUUAUGAAUUAGUAUUUUUUCCACUGGUUUAUUUAAUUUCAUCCAGUGACUAUAUCAUAAUUUUCAUAUUCAAUCUAUAAUGGAUGGAUGUUUAGUUGGUUUGCAGUUUGGUGAUACCUUUUUGAUAUCCUACUAAAACUCCCAGUUUCUCUAAUUUUUGAAAGUACUUUUAAUGCUUCCUUUUGGAGCUUGGGAGCUUGGAAUCCGCAAUUUAUGUCAAUUAUUUUUCAUGCAUAAAGAUGAGAUUAUAGCUGUUCUUCUUCUCUAUGGAUAGUAAAUUCACCUAGAACCAUUUAUGAAAAUACUUUCAUUAAACUACCAUGAAGUCUUUCUCUUAAUCUAAGAAAUCAAAUAUUUGUGAAUUUAUUUCUGUAUCCAUUUUAUUCUAUUCCUUUCAUUCAUCUUUCACUUUGUCUACUUUUUGCACCAAUAUCAAAGUACUUUGGUUUAUUAAACCAACUAAUUAAACUUAGGUAUAAUAAGUGUUGAGAAGUGGGGUUUCUGUAUAGGCUUUUUACUUCCUCUAUAUUCCAUUUCAUACUGUAGGUCAUUUGCAUUUUCAUAUCUGAUAAAAAGUUCAUCAAUUUACAUACUCACUUGGAUUGAUUAGAAACUGCAUUGGAUCAAUAGAUCCAUUUAAGGAGAUGUUGCAAUUCAAUGCUGUUUUAAUUUCAUGAGUGUAAGUACCAUUCCUUUAUCCAUUUUGGUCUUUAAUUUUUCCAAGUGCUGUUUUGCAGUGUUAAGUGGAGGGGUUGUGAAAAUUGUAAAUUAGAUUUAUUCGUAAGUAGUUGCAUUUUUUAUGCUAUUAUACAUAUUGUUUUUAAGGAUGCCAUUUUACAGUUGUUUCCUGUUAACAUAAAUAAACUUUGUUUUUGUAAAUUGA